CACCUCUUGACCAACUAUAAGAGGCCCAGCCUGCCCAGUGAUCAUUUAAACGGCCGCGGUAUCCUAACCGUGCAAAGGUAGCACAAUCACUUGUUCUUUAAAUAAGGACUAGUAUGAACGGCAUCACGAAGACUACACUGUCUCCUUUUUUCAAUCAGUGAAACUGAUCUUCCCGUGAAGAAGCGGGAAUUACUAUAUAAGACGAGAAGACCCCAUGAAGCUUUAAAUUAAAUAUUAACUGCUAUCCAAAUAUCACAUAAACCCAACAGAUCUAAUUAUUAAUUUUAGGUUGGGGCGACCACGGAGUAAAACAAAACCUCCACAAUGAAAAGGCCUAUAUUCCAUAAUUCAAGAACAACAAUUCUAAUAAUCAACACAUUGACAUAACUUGACCCAAAUCCUUGAUCAAUGAACCAAGUUACUCUGGGGAUAACAGCGCAAUCCAUUUCAAGAGCCCAUAUCGACAAAUGGGUUUACGACCUCGAUGUUGGAUCAGGGUAUCCUAGUGGUGUAGCCGCUACUAAAGGUUCGUUUGUUCAACGAUUAAAAC
rnacentral:rRNA from 1 species